UUAAAAUACAAACAUAAUGAUGAUACAUUAAAUAAUGUGAUCUACCCAGCCGGACUUCUAAUUACCUACAUGCAAACCUCAUAUUCAUUCAUCACUUCAUUCUCUUCAGCUGCAAUGUUGGUUUUUGGUAGACACUAACACUGAGCCAUAAGUUUGGAUGGGAAGGGAAACAAGGACAGUGCAAGGCUGUAUAUUAGCUUAGACAAGUAGGAUGUCAUUGCCAGCCUGAAUUUGUUGAUGACACCAGGCAUUAAGCAAGUAAAUCUUCAGCCACUGAAGCAUGAGUUUGCUGACUUUAAGUAAUGACAUCCAGGAGGUGAUCCAGGAGUGGAUUUACACCAGCAAGUACCUAUGGACUCAUAAUGGCCACUUAGCCCUGACCACAAAACAACAAGUCAAAAUGGAGAUUCACCUGUCCCCUGAAAAGAAAAAUUUUGUUUUUCCUUAUUCUAGUCUCAUUUCAAAUGUUCAGGAAGCUGGGUAUGACCAUCUUUGAGGAUGGGGAAGGACUUUUGUCUCUGAAGAAUCCAGCUCAUGGAGUCACUUGGUCAAUUCCCAUUUGCACCCAGCAAAGACCAUGGAGAUGUCAAAUGGUGUAAAAAGGGAUGAACCAUCACAAGACUGGGAUUGGAAAGUGUGGGGAGCAAGCACUCAGGGAGAUGCAGCUGGUUCCCUGGCCCUGGGCUGUGGCUCAGCUCUUGGUCAUGGCACAAGUGACCAGAGGCCAGAAAAACAUGGUGGGGACUGAUUCUGUCUUGGCUACUCCUCAUCAGUGCCUUGAGCUGCAUGAAGCCCUGAGAACCAAGGCAACACGAGGGCACAACCAGGGAUUUGCUCUUCUCAUGGUCCACACCUUAAGCACAGCACAAAGUUCCACCCUUUGCUUCUGCAGGUUUGGCAUUUGCCUGUACGCACGCAUGCACAUUGCUCGGGGAUGA
rnacentral:lncRNA from 1 species